rnacentral:rRNA from 1 species
AUUGAACGCUGGCGGCAGGCCUAACACAUGCAAGUCGAACGGCAGCACAGAAGAGCUUGCUCUUUGGGUGGCGAGUGGCGGACGGGUGAGUAAUGUCUGGGAAACUGCCCGAUGGAGGGGGAUAACUACUGGAAACGGUAGCUAAUACCGCAUAACGUCGCACGACCAAAGUGGGGGACCUUCGGGCCUCACACCAUCGGAUGUGCCCAGAUGGGAUUAGCUAGUAGGUGGGGUAAUGGCUCACCUAGGUGACGAUCCCUAGCUGGUCUGAGAGGAUGACCAGCCACACUGGAACUGAGACACGGUCCAGACUCCUACGGGAGGCAGCAGUGGGGAAUAUUGCACAAUGGGCGCAAGCCUGAUGCAGCCAUGCCGCGUGUAUGAAGAAGGCCUUCGGGUUGUAAAGUACUUUCAGCGGGGAGGAAGGCGGUGAGGUUAAUAACCUCGCCGAUUGACGUUACCCGCAGAAGAAGCACCGGCUAACUCCGUGCCAGCCGCCGCAGUAACAC